AGUGAACGCUGGCGGUAGGCCUAACACAUGCAAGUCGAACGGCAGCACAUUUAUAGCUUGCUCUUACGGGUGGCGAGUGGCGGACGGGUGAUGAGUACAUUGGAAUUUACUUUUUCGUGGGGUAUAACGUAUGGAAACUUUCGCUAAUACCGCAUACGACCUACGGGUGAAAGCUGGGGAUCUUCGGCCCUUGCGCGUUUGCAUGAGCCGAUGUCGGAUUAGCUAGUUGUCGGGGUAUAGGCCCACCAAGGCGGCGAUCCGUCGCUGGUGUGAGAGGAGGAAGAGGCACAGUGGAGGUGAGACGCGGUACAGAGUCCGAGGGGAGGCAGCAGUGGGGAAUGGUGGAAAAUGGGCGCAAGCCUGAACCAGGCAUACCGCGUGGGUGAAGAAGGCCUGCGGGUUGGAAAGCCGUUUUGUGGGGAAAGAAAAGCAGCAGGUUAAUACCACGCUGGUGUGACGGUACCGAAAGAAGAAGCACCGGCUAACUUCGUG
rnacentral:rRNA from 1 species